AGGAAACCUGACCCCAGAUUCCAGUACCCACGCUUUAGACGGUCCAUUUGUGUUUGUAGUCUGAGACUGUAGCAGAAUGUUUCAGCAUAAUCAAGACCAACUGAGAAAGGUUAGCCACGGUCAAAGGAAAUUGAUGAAGAGUGGCUAUUAAGGGAUGGAGCAUAUGUACGCAGACUAUGGUUAAAUAACGGUCAUCUUCAGUGAAAUGUCUGAAGCAGUUACUCAGACCACAGUAGUCAGACAUACAAAAGCAAGAAAACGAGAAUGAUCUUUUCUGGAAGUCUCUACUGGCUGGCAUUCUGCACUCCAUUGUUUUGGUUUGGUCAAGAUUAUACUCUGGCAAGACAUAGGUUUAUGAGGCUGGGGAGAAAGUCAGAGGAUAA